rnacentral:rRNA from 1 species
AUGAUGGCGGGAGCGACGUCAGCCACGGCCGCCGCGGGCGCAUUCGCCGCCGCCGCCGCUGCCAGCGCCAAGGCGGCGUGCCCCUGGGCCGUUGUCGCCGCCGGCGGCCGGAGGCGGUCCGGCGUCGUCGUGCGCUGCGACGCCGGCGGGGAUGCCCAGGCGGCGUCCAAGGCGGCCAGCAUCACCGCGCUCGAGCAGUUCAAGAUCUCCGCAGACCGGUACAUGAAGGAAAAGAGUAGCAUCGCUGUAAUAGGCCUCAGUGUACACACAGCACCAGUGGACAUGCGUGAAAAACUUGCUGUUGCAGAGGAACUAUGGCCCCGUGCUAUUUCAGAACUCACCAGUCUGAAUCAUAUUGAAGAGGCUGCUGUUCUUAGUACCUGCAACAGAAUGGAGAUAUAUGUGGUGGCUUUAUCAUGGAACCGUGGUAUUAGAGAAGUAGUAGACUGGAUGUCAAAGAAAAGUGGAAUCCCUGCUUCCGAGCUAAGGGAGCAUCUCUUUAUGCUGCGUGACAGUGACGCCACGCGCCAUCUGUUUGAGGUGUCCGCCGGGCUUGACUCUUUGGUUCUUGGAGAAGGACAAAUCCUUGCUCAAGUUAAACAAGUCGUUAGAAAUGGGCAAAACAGCGGGGGCUUGGGAAAGAACAUUGAUAGGAUGUUCAAGGAUGCAAUCACAGCUGGAAAGCGCGUCCGCUGUGAGACCAACAUAUCAGCUGGUGCUGUGUCUGUCAGCUCAGCUGCGGUUGAAUUGGCCAUGAUGAAGCUUCCAAAGUCUGAGUGCUUGUCAGCUAGGAUGCUUUUGAUUGGCGCUGGCAAGAUGGGAAAAUUAGUGGUCAAACAUUUGAUUGCCAAAGGAUGCAAGAAGGUUGUUGUGGUGAACCGUUCGGUGGAAAGGGUGGAUGCCAUCCGCGAAGAGAUGAAAGAUAUCGAGAUUGUGUACAGGCCUCUCACGGAGAUGUACGAAGCCGCUGCUGACGCUGAUGUCGUGUUCACAAGCACAGCAUCCGAAUCCUUAUUAUUCACGAAGGAGCAUGCGGAGGCACUUCCUCCUAUUUCUCUUGCCAUGGGUGGUGUUCGGCUUUUCGUCGACAUAUCCGUCCCAAGGAAUGUCGGCGCGUGUCUAUCCGAAGUGGAGCACGCACGGGUAUACAACGUCGACGACCUCAAAGAGGUGGUGGAGGCCAACAAGGAAGACCGUGUGAGGAAAGCAAUGGAGGCCCAAGCAAUCAUCACCCAAGAACUGAAGCGGUUCGAGGCCUGGAGGGACUCGCUGGAGACGGUCCCAACCAUCAAGAAGCUGAGGUCGUACGCCGACAGGAUCAGGGCGUCCGAGCUCGAGAAGUGCCUGCAGAAGAUCGGGGAAGACAACCUCAACAAGAAGAUGAGGAGGUCCAUCGAGGAGCUGAGCACGGGCAUCGUGAACAAGCUCCUCCACGGCCCGUUGCAGCACCUGAGGUGCGACGGCAGCGACAGCCGCACCCUGGACGAGACGCUCGAGAACAUGCACGCCCUCAACAGGAUGUUCAACCUCGACACGGAGAAGGCGGUCCUCGAGCAGAAGAUCAAGGCCAAGGUAGAGAAGACCCAAAGCUGA